rnacentral:rRNA from 1 species
UACGUAGGGUGCAAGCGUUAAUCGGAAUUACUGGGCAUAAAGCGUGCGCAGGCGGUGAUGUAAGACAGGUGUGAAAUCCCCGGGCUUAACCUGGGAACUGCAUUUGUGACUGCAUCGCUGGAGUGCGGCAGAGGGGGAUGGAAUUCCGCGUGUAGCAGUGAAAUGCGUAGAUAUGCGGAGGAACACCGAUGGCGAAGGCAAUCCCCUGGGCCUGCACUGACGCUCAUGCACGAAAGCGUGGGGAGCAAACAGG